UGCCGCGUGAGUGAAGAAGGCCCUUGGGUUGUAAAGCUCUUUCGUCGGGGAAGAAAAUGACUGUACCCGAAUAAGAAGGUCCGGCUAACUUCGUGCCAGCAGCCGCGGUAAUACGAAGGGACCUAGCGUAGUUCGGAAUUACUGGGCUUAAAGAGUUCGUAGGUGGUUGAAAAAGUUAGUGGUGAAAUCCCAGAGCUUAACUCUGGAACUGCCAUUAAAACUUUUCAGCUAGAGUAUGAUAGAGGAAAGCAGAAUUUCUAGUGUAGAGGUGAAAUUCGUAGAUAUUAGAAAGAAUACCAAUUGCGAAGGCAGCUUUCUGGAUCAUUACUGACACUGAGGAACGAAAGCAUGGGUAGCGAAGAGGAUUAGAUACCCUCGUAGUCCAUGCCGUAAACGAUGUGUGUUAGACGUUGGAAAUUUAUUUUCAGUGUCGCAGCGAAAGCGAUAAACACACCGCCUGGGGAGUACGACCGCAAGGUUAAAACUCAAAUGAAUUGACGGGGACCCGCACAAGUAGUGGAGCAUGUGGUUUAAUUCGAAGAUACGCGCAGAACCUUACCAACACUUGACAUGUUCGUCGCGACUCUAAGAGAUUAGAGUUUUCGGUUCGGCCGGACGAAACACAGGUGCUGCAUGGCUGUCGUCAGCUCGUGUCGUGAGAUGUUGGGUUAAGUCCCGCAACGAGCGCAACCCUCACUUUUAGUUGCCAUCAUUAAGUUGGGCACUCUGAAAGAACUGCCAGUGAUAAGCUGGAGGAAGGUGGGGAUGACGUCAAGUCCUCAUGGCCCUUACGUGUUGGGCUACACACGUGCUACAAUGGUAUCUACAACAGGAAGCAAGACUGCGAGGUCAAGCAAAUCCUUAAAAGAUACCUCAGUUCGGAUUGCACUCUGCAACUCGAGUGCAUGAAGCUGGAAUUACUAGUAAUCGU
rnacentral:rRNA from 1 species